UGGGGAAUAUUGCACAAUGGGCGAAAGCCUGAUGCAGCAACGCCGCGUGAGUGAUGAAGGCCUUUGGGUCGUAAAGCUCUGUCCUAAGGGAAGAAUAAAUGACGGUACCUUAGGAGGAAGCCCCGGCUAACUACGUGCCAGCAGCCGCGGUAAUACGUAGGGGGCGAGCGUUAUCCGGAAUUAUUGGGCGUAAAGAGUGCGUAGGUGGUUGUUUAAGCGCGAGGUGAAAGGCUACAGCUUAACUGUAGUAAGCCUUGCGAACUGGACGACUUGAGUGCAGGAGAGGAAAGCGGAAUUCCUAGUGUAGCGGUGAAAUGCGUAGAUAUUAGGAGGAACACCAGUGGCGAAGGCGGCUUUCUGGACUGUAACUGACACUGAGGCACGAAAGCGUGGGGAGCAA
rnacentral:rRNA from 1 species